ACGGCUCAGUAACACGUAGUCAACAUGCCCAGGGGACGUGGAUAACCUCGGGAAACUGAGGAUAAACCGCGAUAAGUCAUUACUUCUGGAAUGGGUAAUGAUUAAAAUCUACAUGGCCCCUGGAUUGGACUGCGGCCGAUCAGGCUGUUGGUGAGGUAAUGGCCCACCAAACCUGUAACCGGUACGGGCUCCGAGAGGAGGAGCCCGGAGAUGGGCACUGAGACAAGGGCCCAGGCCCUAUGGGGCGCAGCAGGCGCGAAACCUCUGCAAUAGGCGAAAGCCUGACAGGGUUACUCUGAGUGAUUUCCGUUAAGGAGAUCUUUUGGCACCUCUAAAAAUGGUGCAGAAUAAGGGGUGGGCAAGUCUGGUGUCAGCCGCCGCGGUAAUACCAGCACCCCGAGUGGUCGGGACGUUUAUUGGGCCUAAAGCAUCCGUAGCCGGUUCUACAAGUCUUCCGUUAAAUCCACCUGCUUAACAGAUGGGCUGCGGAAGAUACUAUAGAGCUAGGAGGCGGGAGAGGCAAGCGGUACUCGAUGGGUAGGGGUAAAAUCCGUUGAUCCAUUGAAGACCACCAGUGGCGAAGGCGGCUUGCCAGAACGCGCUCGACGGUGAGGGAUGAAAGCUGGGGGAGCAAACCGGAUUAGAUACCCGGGUAGUCCCAGCUGUAAACGAUGCAGACUCGGUGAUGAGUUGGCUUCUUGCCAACUCAGUGCCGCAGGGAAGCCGUUAAGUUUGCCGCCUGGGGAGUACGGUCGCAAGACUGAAACUUAAAGGAAUUGGCGGGGGAGCAC
rnacentral:rRNA from 1 species